rnacentral:rRNA from 1 species
ACUCCUACGGGAGGCAGCAGUAGGGGAAUCUUCCACAAUAGGGCGGCCAAGCCUGAUGGAGCAACACCGCGUGAGUGAAGAAGGGUUCGGCUCGUAAAGCUCUGUUGUUAAAGAAGAACACGUAUGAGAGUAACUGUUCAUACGUUGACGGUAUUUAACCAGAAAGUCACGGCUAACUACGUGCCAGCAGCCGCGGUAAUACGUAGGUGGCAAGCGUUAUCCGGAUUUAUUGGGCGUAAAGAGAGUGCAGGCGGUUUUCUAAGUCUGAUGUGAAAGCCUUCGGCGUUAACCGGAGAAGUGCAUCGGAAACUGGAUAACUUGAGUGCAGAAGAGGGUAGUGGAACUCCAUGUGUAGCGGUGGAAUGCGUAGAUAUAUGGAAAGAACACCAGUGGCGAAGGCCGGCUACCUGGUCUGCAACUGACGCUGAGACUCGAAAGCAUGGGUAGCGAACAGGAUUAGAUACCCCUGGUA